UACGUAGGGCGCAAGCGUUGUCCGGAAUUAUUGGGCGUAAAGAGCUCGUAGGCGGCUUGUCACGUCGGGUGUGAAAGCCCGGGGCUUAACCCCGGGUCUGCAUUCGAUACGGGCUAGCUAGAGUGUGGUAGGGGAGAUCGGAAUUCCUGGUGUAGCGGUGAAAUGCGCAGAUAUCAGGAGGAACACCGGUGGCGAAGGCGGAUCUCUGGGCCAUUACUGACGCUUAGGAGCGAAAGCGUGGGGAGCGAACAGG
rnacentral:rRNA from 1 species